GCAGUGCUCCCUCCGUUCCAUAAUUCUUGUCAAAAUAUUACAUGUAUUUAGACACUUUUUAGGAAUAGAUGCAUCCAUUUUUGGACAAAUUUGAGACAAGAAUUAUGGAACGGAGGUAGUAUCAU
rnacentral:pre_miRNA from 1 species